AGCGAACGCUGGCGGCAGGCUUAACACAUGCAAGUCGAACGCCCCGCAAGGGGAGUGGCAGACGGGUGAGUAACACAUGGGAACGUACCCUUUGGUUCGGAAUAACUUGGGGGAACUCAAGCUAAUACCGGAUAAGCCCUUAUGGGGAAAGGUUUACUGCCGAAGGAUCGGCCCGCGUCUGAUUAGCUAGUUGGUGAGGUAAUGGCUCACCAAGGCGACGAUCAGUAGCUGGUCUGAGAGGAUGAUCAGCCACACUGGGACUGAGACACGGCCCAGACUCCUACGGGAGGCAGCAGUGGGGAAUAUUGGACAAGGGGGGCAACCCUGAUCCAGCCAUGCCGCGUGAGUGAUGAAGGCCUUAGGGUUGUAAAGCUCUUUUACCCGGGACGAUAAUGACUGUACCGGGAGAAUAAGCCCCGGCUAACUUCGUGCCAGCAGCCGCAGUAA
rnacentral:rRNA from 1 species